UACGGAGGGUGCAAGCGUUAUCCGGAUUUACUGGGUUUAAAGGGUGUGUAGGCGGAUAUUUAAGUCAGAGGUGAAAUCUCCAGGCUCAACCUGGAAACUGCCUUUGAUACUAUUUAUCUUGAAUUUUGUUGAGGUUGGCAGAAUAUAUCAUGUAGCGGUGAAAUGCAUAGAUAUGAUAUAGAAUACCGAUUGCGUAGGCAGCUGGCUGAACAACGAUUGACGCUGAGGCACGAAAGCGUGGGUAGCGAACAGGAUUAGAUACCCUGGUAGUCCACGCCCUAAACGAUGAUUACUCGACAUAUGCGAUACACUGUAUGUGUCUGAGCGAAAGCAUUAAGUAAUCCACCUGGGAAGUACGUCCGCAAGGAUGAA
rnacentral:rRNA from 1 species